rnacentral:rRNA from 1 species
UACAGAGGGUGCGAGCGUUGUCCGGAAUCACUGGGCGUAAAGGGCGCGUAGGCGGCCUUCUAAGUCAGACGUGAAAUCCCUCGGCUCAACCGGGGAACUGCGUCUGAGACUGGAAGGCUUGAAUCCGGGAGAGGGAUGUGGAAUUCCAGGUGUAGCGGUGAAAUGCGUAGAUAUCUGGAGGAACACCGGUGGCGAAGGCGGCAUCCUGGACCGGUAUUGACGCUGAGGCGCGAAAGCCAGGGGAGCAAACGGG